GCAAAAGUCGUGCACCAAGGCAGAUAUGGGUAAAAGGAAUAAGGCGUUGCCUAAUUUAUCCAAUGCAAAUUAAGGGUAGAAACUUAUUGAUCAGG